rnacentral:SRP_RNA from 1 species
GCUGGGCGUGGUGGCGCAUGCCUGUAAUCCCAGCUACUCCGGAGGCUGAGGCAGGAGAAUUGCUUGAACCUGGGAAGCGGGGGUUGCAGUGAGCCGAGAUCGUGCCACUGCUCUCCAGCCUGGGUGACAGAGCAAGACUCCGUCUCAA